GUAAAAACAUAAAAUGCUCCUGGUAAAACGAAGGAAAACGGCACGCACACCGUUGGCCGCCAUGGAAGCCGCACGCCUCUCCCAGCCCGUCGCCGGCGCCGCCUCACUCAUCCGCCGCUCUCGUCCCUCCCCAGACCAUCCCAAUCCCUCGGCGGCUCCAAGCCGUGGCGCUCGCUUCGUCGGAGCUCCCCAAGCAGCAGGUAUCGUGCUCCCUCCUCGCCCGCCGCCGCCGCUUCUUCGGCCGUUCACUCGUCCCCUCCCUGGACGCCCACCAGAUUCAGAAGGAAUGAUUCGCUGGAUAUGGACUCGCUUCCUUAGUGGGAACCAUGGCGUCUGAACUCCGAACUACUAGGCAGUGGUUAAAUCAUGUGCUACCAACUCUUUUGGUUUUGUCAGGAAAAUAUUUGCACUUGGUGCUCUAGUUGUUUAUGGUGCCGAGUACCAUAGCACAGCUGUUUUGCUGCAGGCUGGGAGCUUGAACUUAAUUUCAACUUUGGACACAUGACCCAAUGGUUUCUAUGGCUGUUGCUGGAAGCAAGUGUGGGAUGGAUACUGGAUGGUCAGCCUUACACCUAUAAUACCUUCCUCAACUCUUUGGAUUUAUUUUCUCUUCUUUAUUUUACAUCUUUCUAUGUUUCUCCUUUUGCAAGGCCUAAAAUUCCAUUUUUGGUUACUUAUAGAAAAUUGUCUCCCUUUUAUUUUGGCUUCAGUUGCUGGAUAUAGCUUGCAUCUUGGUAACCAUGAGGUUGUGAGGAUGGCUUGGAAAAGAUUCCUUCACAAUGUUUGCCAAGGAGUACUAACAAUCUCAACAAUCUGCAAACUUCAGUCUUUAAUUAGGUUUUGAUAGAACCCAAACAAAACGUCUAGAUAGAUCCUGUACGUAUUUCCAUAGAUUAAUGAACAAACAAGCAUACGCUGUGUCUUAAGCAAGUGCCAGCCUUUUGGCUAUAGAAUCCUCUACCAAAUAAGUAUCUAUUACUAAAUACAUAGUAGAUACGACAAGAAUUUAUGGAGCAUACGUCAUGAUGUUACCAACGGUAAGUUUGACCGAUCUUGUGGUGAACCUUGUAUAUUUGGCAGUCAAUUAGACAGGUAAGAAUCAGAGUACAUAGACAGAUGAUGUUCAUGAACUCUUCUACUAAAUAAAUGAGUAGAGUUAUUGAGUA